AGUCAACUUUCAGGUUUUCUUCAGCACUCUGGUCAAACAAGAAAGGUUAUAACAUCCAUGGAGGACUAACAGGCUUUGACAAUCAAGAAACCAAAUUACCUGUGUUCUGGACUACUUCAUUUAAGGAGUUGUGUAUUGGAAUGAAAUAUGGGAAAAGGUUCAAAUUUAUUACCAUAAAAUACCCGGCAAAUUCGCUGUACGACUUGUUCGCUGACACCAAAUAUCGUUCAACCAGUCUUGGUCGCAAGACAUGGAAAUCCUUGAUCGCAGGCUCAUCCCUGCAAUCGCAUUGCAACCGAGAAGGCUUCAAUAUUAAAACAAAGUAUGUCAACAUUAGAUUGGGUCUCUUGGGUAACAACGAGAAUAACUGCGCUACAACAGAUACUUUUAUUGGUCUUGGGAGUUAUUCUACUUCGCGCAGGUUCUGCAAGUUUGUUGUGACGGCAAACAGUGCAGGCAAUGUUGGACAAUGUUGGUCAGACAAUGGAAAUACUGAUUUUAAAGCCAUGGCAUAUAUAUUGAUUCGCUAGACAUAGACGUAUAUUUUACAUUUAUGUAGCAUGUCUUUUGUGUUUAUCUUAGAGUCGCGUGAACUUCUAUAUUAUGGGUCAUAUCUAUCGAAUGACGUCAUUUUCUACCUAUAUAACCAUUGACAUUACUGCUUUAAGACAUGUAUCCUAUAUUAAUUUUUACAGAAUAUAUAUUUUCCCGUUUUAGUAAG